rnacentral:rRNA from 1 species
GGUGACUCAUAAUAACUUUACGGAUCACAUUAAAUGUGACAUAUCAUUCAAGUUUCUGACCUAUCAGCUUUAGACGGUAGGAUAUUGGCCUACCGUGGCAAUGACGGGUAACGGGGAAUUAGGGUUCGAUUCCGGAGAGGGAGCCUGAGAAACGGCUACCACAUCUAAGGAAGGCAGCAGGCGCGCAAAUUACCCAAUCCUAAUACAGGGAGGUAGUGACAAGAAAUAACAAUACAGGACUUUUUGGUUUUGUAAUUGGAAUGAGUUAAGUAUAAACCCCUUUACAAGUAUCAAUUGGAGGGCAAGUCUGGUGCCAGCAGCCGCGGUAAUUCCAGCUCCAAUAGCGUAUAUUAAAGUUGUUGCAGUUAAAAAGCUCGUAGUUGGAUUUCUGUUAAUAAUUUAUAUAAAAUAUUUUGAAGAUUUU